AUGGGUGGCAAAACCAGAGUCCCCAGUGCUCCGAGGUGAAAUAUACGCACGGUGGAGCCCUCUCAGCCGGUCUCCACCAAACCAGCUCACAGGAGGAAGGACACUCCCUUUCUGUCAGGAAAGCACCCUGGCACAGGCCGCUCUCUGCUACGUCGAAACACUUCUGCUUCCAACAGGAGAGAUGAAACAGAAAUUGGAAGUGACAGACAUACAUUAUGGAUGCAGUUUAUGAAAGAAAGAAGAUGUGAAACUCCAAUCAGCAGACCCAUAUUCAAAAGAAAAGGCCCUGGCCCUACAUCAAAAGAAUGGCAAAUGAAUGUACAUUUAUCUGUUUUAAGUUAAACUAAAAUGUUUAAGGAUGAAUAUUCCAUGGUAGCAACAGCAGGGGCUCAAAGUACAACUCCACCACUCCCAACUAUAAGAUGCUGAAGCAAGUCACUUAACCUCUUGGGAGUUUCCAUUCCUACCUCUGGAAAAGGGGAAGAAUCACAGCUAACUCCCUCAAGCUUUCUGCAAGGAAUCAGAUGAGACGCUGGGUGUGAGCAGCAUGCCUGGUGCUGCGGGAGGUCACCAGAGCACCCUUCCCGAGGGCCACAGAGCUGCAGUGCUGAAGCCACUCCCUCCCCGGAGGCCUCCGGCUUCCUCGUCAGUGUUCCGCUGGACUUCGGGGACAGAAAUUUUUGCUUGUGUUCUUUUUAUGGUGAAAAAUUCUCAAACAUUUACAAAAGCAGAAAGAAGUGAAUAAUGAAUGCCCAAGUGUCCAUCCAGCUUCAGCAAUGAUCAAUUCAUGGCCAUACUUAUCUCUACUACAUUCCUGCCCAUCCUCUCCCCAAGAUGAUUCUGGAACCAACCCUAGAAGCCAAUCGUAUCAUCUAUAAAGUAUUUUACUAUAUCUCUCUAGAAGAUUUGUUUUUUGUUUGUUUGUUUGUUUGUUUUAAACAGAGAGCAUCUUACUAUGUUGCUCA